UACGUAGGUGGCAAGCGUUGUCCGGAUUUAUUGGGUUUAAAGGGUGCGUAGGCGGCGCGGUAAGUCGGGUGUGAAAUCUCGGGGCUUAACUCCGAAACUGCAUUCGAUACUGCCGUGCUUGAGGACUGGAGAGGAGACUGGAAUUUACGGUGUAGCGGUGAAAUGCGUAGAUAUCGUAAGGAAAACCAGUGGCGAAGGCGGGUCUCUGGACAGUUCCUGACGCUGAGGCACGAAGGCCAGGGGAGCAAACGGG
rnacentral:rRNA from 1 species